AAUGGAGUGCCUGAAAAAAAGGAUUAUUUUGAUAGAAUAAAUUAUGUAAUAAAUUUACCUUCAUUA
rnacentral:tRNA from 1 species